AGGCCUACUGAGGGCUGGCUGUUCGCUUAUUUGUUGAUUCAAAACAAAAGGCGCUACUGAGCUACUUGACUUAAGUACAGCUAGAGUAGUACAACAGAAUGCCUUUCGCCCUACUUCAGUCACAAGCACCCUAAGCAAGCCCGUACGCAAGCCCUACUAAGUUACUUUCAUAACCCAAGUGUUAGAGUCACCGGGUAGGGCGAUGACUCUUCAAAAAAAAGGGCUGGCGACCAAUUGGACUUUUAGGGCGACCUUCAGUAUAUCAUUUCAAUAGUAGUUGAACAAACAAGUCCACUAAUAGCUUAGAUAGUGGCCCUUCCACUUUGGUGUAGUUGACCCUGCCUAUUGAUUGACUCAAGGUUAGAACUUCAACCUCAAGUUUCAUAGGUACUGGGAACCUGGGAUGCAGGCAUCACUUUGGUACUUUUUCACCACUAGUUCUUCUUUAGUUUGAGUAUAGCAACCUGCUGUUCACCGGCAGGUCAGUAGGCCUUGACGAAGGCGAACACUAGCAAAGUGAUCAG
rnacentral:lncRNA from 1 species